AGAGUUUGAUCCUGGCUCAGAUUGAACGCUGGCGGCAUGGCUAAAACAUGCAAGUCGAACGCGAAAGGGAGCAAUCCCAAGUAGAGUGGCGAAAGGGCGAGUAAUACAUUCCUAACGUGCCUUCAGGUCAGGGAUAGCUUCCCGAAAGGGAAAUUAAUACCUGGUGACCCCGCGGAGUCGCAUGGCUCUGCGGGCAAAGGCUUGCUGUCUGAAGAUCGGGGAAUGUCCUAUCAGCUAGUUGGUGAGGUAAUGGCUCACCAAGGCGAAGACGGGUAGCGGGUGUGAGAGCACGGCCCGCCGCAUCGGGACUGAGACACUGCCCGGACUCCUACGGGAGGCUGCAGUAACGAAUAUUCCGCAAUGGGCGAAAGCCUGACGGAGCAAUGCCGCGUGCAGGAUGAAGCCCCUCGGGGUGUAAACUGCUGUCAGGGGUUACCAACACAAUGAGGAGCCCCAGAGGAAGUGGCGACUAACUCUGUGCCAGCAGUCGCGGUAAUACAGAGGCCACAAGCGUAUCGAUCACUGGGCUUAAAGGGUGCGUAGGCGGUCCCGCAAGUGCUUUGUGAAAUCCCAUCGCUCAACGAUGGAAUGGCUCGGCAUACUGCGGGACUUGAGGUCGGUAGAGGUCGUCGGAACAGUAGGUGAAGCGGUGAAAUGCGUAGAUAUCUACUGGAACGCCAAAGGUGAAGACAGGCGACUGGGCCGAUUCUGACGCUGAGGCACGAAAGCGUGGGGAGCGAACGGGAUUAGAUACCCCGGUAGUCCACGCCCUAAACGAUGCGCACUAGAUCCAGGAGGCUCUGACGCCAUCUGGAUCGAAGCAAAAGUGCAAGUGCGCCGCCUGGGGAGUACGGUCGCAAGGCUAAAACUCAAAGGAAUUGACGGGGGCUCACACAAGCGGUGGAGCAUGUGGCUUAAUUCGAAGCAACGCGAAGAACCUUAUCCUAGACUUGACAUGUACGGAUUAGUCCGAUGAAAGUCGGAUGACGCGGUUUCCGUGGAACGUACACAGGUGCUGCAUGGCUGUCGUCAGCUCGUGCUGUGAAGUGUCGGGUUAAGUCCCUUAACGAGCGAAACCCCUAUCACUAGUUGCUACCGGGUCAUGCCGAGGACUCUAGUGAGACUGCCGGUGUCAAACCGGAGGAAGGUGGGGAUGACGUCAAGUCCUCAUGGCCUUUAUGUCCAGGGCCGCACACGUGCUACAAUGGCGACCACAAAGCGACGCAAGGCCGCAAGGCGGAGCAAAUCGCACAAAAGUCGCCCCAGUUCAGAUUGGGGUCUGCAACUCGACCCCAUGAAGUCGGAAUCGCUAGUAAUCGCGGAUCAGCUAUGCCGCGGUGAAUAUGUUCCUGAGCCUUGUACACACCGCCCGUCACGUCAUGGGAGCCGGAAAUGCCCGAAGUCGUGCCACCUCAGGCAUGCCUACGGCAGGUUCGGUGACUGGGACGAAGUCGUAACAAGGUAGCC
rnacentral:rRNA from 1 species